rnacentral:rRNA from 1 species
AGCGAACGCUGGCGGCAGGCCUAACACAUGCAAGUCGAGCGCCGUAGCAAUACGGAGCGGCAGACGGGUGAGUAACGCGUGGGAACGUGCCCUUCAGUUCGGAAUAACCCAGGGAAACUUGGGCUAAUACCGGAUACGUCCGAAAGGAGAAAGAUUUAUCGCUGAAGGAUCGGCCCGCGUAAGAUUAGCUAGUUGGUGAGGUAACGGCUCACCAAGGCGAUGAUCUUUAGCUGGUCUGAGAGGACGAUCAGCCACACUGGGACUGAGACACGGCCCAGACUCCUACGGGAGGCAGCAGUGGGGAAUAUUGGACAAUGGGCGCAAGCCUGAUCCAGCCAUGCCGCGUGAGUGAUGAAGGCCUUAGGGUUGUAAAGCUCUUUUGGCAGGGACGAUAAUGACUGUACCUGCAGAAUAAGCCCCGGCCAACUUCGUGCCAGCCGCCGCGGUAAGAC